rnacentral:rRNA from 1 species
UACGUAGGGGCCUAGCGUUGUCCGGAUUUAUUGGGCGUAAAGAGCUCGUAGGCGGUUUGGUAAGUCGGGUGUGAAAUCUCCACGCUCAACGUGGAGGGGCCACCCGAUACUGCCAUGACUGGAGUCCGGUAGGGGAGUGUGGAAUUCCCGGUGUAGCGGUGAAAUGCGCAGAUAUCAGGAGGAACACCGGCGGCGAAGGCGGGUCUCUGGGCCGUAACUGACACUGAGGAGCGAAAGCGUGGGGAGCGAACAGG